UACGUAGGGUGCGAGCGUUAAUCGGAAUUACUGGGCGUAAAGCGUGCGCAGGCGGUUCUAUAAGACAGAUGUGAAAUCCCCGGGCUCAACCUGGGAAUGGCAUUUGUGACUGUAGAGCUAGAGUACUGUAGAGGGGGAUGGAAUUCCGCGUGUAGCAGUGAAAUGCGUAGAUAUGCGGAGGAACACCGAUGGCGAAGGCAAUCCCCUGGACCUGUACUGACGCUCAUGCACGAAAGCGUGGGGAGCAAACAGG
rnacentral:rRNA from 1 species